GCUGCCUGAUUUAAAUAGAUUUUCCCUCAAAUAAACUCUUAACAUUUUUAAUAUGCCUCAGUUUAUCUCUUAACAGUCCUGCUGGUAGAAGAGAGCACAAAAGGGACCCCGACAGCCCUCAGAAGAAUGAGCAAGCAGGUGUUAGUGCCUCGCGCUCCCUGCUUUCUGGCUGCCUCUGGAGGUCAGAGUUUCUGGUGACCAGGAUGGGACCCACCGGGAUACUACUCCAACUCAGUCCAGAUUCCACGAACAGCAUCCUUGGAAAAUUGGCAGGAGCCAGCAACGAGUCCUAAAUGCAUACUCUCAGCCACCAGCAGUACAUCUUGCUUGCUGUUCCUGGAAGCACAGAAGCAAGAUGAACAAGAUGAACAGCAAAAACCCUUCUUCUAGGGAUCCGACAUCCUCACCUAAUGCAUACAACACCUUGGUGUUCAACCACACUGACCCCAGAGGACCCACCACUUUCCGACGCUACUGAUGUACUGAUGUCAUCUGUAGCUCACAGCUGCUUCCUGGUAUCUGUCUGACCUCUGGGAUAAAACAGGGCUUAGGAUGCUUUCUCAUUUACUCCAUGUCUUUACUUUUUUUCUCCAGAAGUAUGCUAAACUGAUAAAAAUCAACCAUGAGAUUACCUUGUAUUUUAGCACCAAGACUUCUCAGUUCUAGGCCUUAGAGGGUAAGCCCUUCAUUAUGGGUAACUGCACAAAUAAUAGCAAUUUAUUGGUAUAAAUUCCUUCUGGCCUGUCAGUAGAAAAUAUUUGGACUUUUUAUUAUUAUCAAUCAAAGUCACAAGUUUGAAAUUAGGAGCACAUGUAAAUUCAGCAAAUUUGAGUUCCUUUGUGUGUCAGUCCAGUGCUAGGUGCUUCCAUUUGGUCUCUCAUUUCAUCUCCUAAAAAUUCUUUGAGAUAAUUUCUCUUUCUACCAACUUUUUUUUUUUUCUUAUGAGAAAAAUAAUACCAAGAAUUUACCUGAUGUUGAGGGUCAAACAGUAACUAGCAGAGUUGUGAUUUGAAACUUAGGCUCCAAACGCUAACUUCACUCCUCUUUACACUAGAACAGUGAUUCCCAGAUCAGCAGCAUCAGCAUCUCCUGGGCAAUUCCUAGAAAUUAGUUCUCAGGUCUUGCCCCAGAUCUGGGGUUGACGGGGGGCAGACACCUGUGUACAUCCUCCAGAUAACGCAAGCUAAAGUCUGAGAACCAUUACACGACACAGUUGUGUACACAAAUGUAUGUAAUUUGGUCUACCCAGGUGGAUGGUUGAGUGAGUUAAAUGACUCUCAUCAUUGAAAAAC
rnacentral:lncRNA from 1 species